AUUUGAAGAGCAGAGAAACAAACUCUCUCCAGCUGGGCAGAUCAUUUAACAUCUACACUAUGAAGGACAGGUUCUGGAUCUGCAGGAUCUGGAUCUAAGAUGGGAUGCUCCACUGCUUUCAGAUGAGCCUUUCACUGUCACAGUCAAUGGCCAGGAACAGAAUAAGCUCUGGAGUUAUUUGGAAACAUUAGAAUGGGAGAAACACAUUUGGAACCAAUUAGAGGAAGCAAGUGAGACCACAGAGGAAUCAACGCUACAUCUCAAUAGAAGAACAAGAGGAAAAACUCUUGUAUGAUCUGGUGGUACAUCAACAUGCGAAUCAGAUUGCUGCCAUUUAAAAUGAUGCUUGGGCUUCUCUCUGUCCAAUAUGGUGUGUUUAGCCAAUUUACUCUCAUCAGCUGAAGAAAACUAGGCAUGCAUCCCUGACAUCAGAAAGGUAAGUACCAUCUAUGUUGCCACCCACAUAAUUACAUAAAUAAAUAAAUAAUUUUUGAAGGCAACCUUUGAAAUACAGUCAAAAAGCUUCAUAAGGCAACCAACAGACAACUAUUUAAUAGCUUUUCCUAUAAUUUUAUAAUCCCCAGGAAUUAAGUUAAAGAUAUAGCUAAUAUAGGAUCUGUAAUCACAUGGGAAUAGAGGUAGAGCAUCCAGCAAUAUGUCAAGACAGAAUUAUUCAGAAAACUUCAGGCCAUUAGUGUUAGCCAGGAUUCUUUUGCAAGAAUAUUACUGGAAAUAAUGGUAUGGGACAAGAUUACAAGACAUUUAGAGAUGGGUGAUUUAGUUAAGGGCAGACAGCAUAUAUUCACUAAAGGUAAAUUAUGUUUGACAAAUUAGCUUGAAUCUGAUUAUUUUAAUGUUCUGUGGGUGAAAGAACGAAUUAGUGUCUACAAUUUAUCUGAUUCUCAAAACUAUAUUUGAUAUUUGACAUGAAAGAGACCAAGUUUACAAAAGGAGAAUUACAGGCAGUUAUUCAAAUAGAAUGAAAAUUAUCUCAGGAAAAUGAAAGAGUCUGUCAAUUAACAAUAACACUUCAGGUGGAAAAACGUAUACAAUCAGCAGUCAAUAAGCACCACUUUACUUGACCUAUUACACAAAUUGCACUGAAAUCAAUGUCAAGAGUGGCUAGAUAUAGAGGUAAGAUGUAUUAAGACUAACAAUAUUACACUGGGUUACUGGGAAGUGGAUAGUAAAGCUACAUCGACACAGUUUAUCUCUGAAAAUUAAAACAGUUCUGAUGCUUUUUCAUAAUGUAACUUCUCAUUCCCAUCUCCUUCUUUUUUUUUUCUCAUUUAUUUUCAAUUAGUCAUUUAUUCUUCUAUUCAGCAAAUCCUUUUUAGAACCUGUGAAUAUGUUUAUUUGUUUGUUUUUAAUAGUGAUAUAUAAUUUUAAAAUAUUUACACGAUGAAUUUAUUGCAACAGAUCCCCAAAUGUGGAUUUAUCUGUAGUGAUCUAGAAUGACUCAUACACAAGAGCAUGAAUGAAUCUGCUACAGCUGCUCCCUAGAGAAGAGGAUUUCUAGCCUAGGCCAUUGUUAAAUUUCUGUCUUUGGCUUGUGGCAAAACCACAUCACAGUCACAACAAAUAAUCACAGUCCAAUCUUACAAGCAUCUUUCAUUUAUUUUUAUAAGUGAGACACAUAAUGAGAUCUUUGCAUCUUCUCCCAGAAUUGAUAUGUACUAUGGAAUUACGGUUUUUGAAAGUACUUGGUAUGUCAGAUUGAAAAAUUCUGCCAACAGUGUUCAAUGGAAAAGGCAAUAUAAAUGCUAAAAAAGACAUGUGACAGUAUGUGGUGUUUCAGCUCCAUGGCAGUGUGAAAAAGUAUUGGCCAGGGCCAAUACAAGGUGGCUCUCUUGUUUGACGGAUGCCCAGCUGUGUUCCCUUCCUUCUUGUCUUGCACGGGGGACAUGCAUGUGUGCAACUUGGCAAAACCAUCAUGUAAAGUGCAGAUGUGGCUGCAGGUUAACU